CGACUCCAAAUGCCUCGAUGCCCAGUCCGCCCACGAAGCAACUUUGACCGCUAUCAUUCCCGCGUUGGCAGGUGCCAACAUGAUCUAUGGUA
rnacentral:ncRNA from 1 species